rnacentral:misc_RNA from 1 species
UUGGCGUGUUCAGACGUGGUUGGGCCUCUGUUUCGGCCAGUUUCGAGGCGAGAAGUGCAGCGUCUGUGUUUGUUACACGUGUAAUCAUAGCAUUCCCCUGGUUGCGGUGGCUUCGCGGUGCAAUGGCAAAUUCCAAACCUAAAAAGAGGGGUCUGUGGCUGAAGGCGACAUGGCAAAGGGAGGAGAGGAGGAACGUCCUGCGCAAGUGGCAUGCCCCCUACCACCGAAUGGCUGUAGAGGGACAAGCAGCAGCAAGUGCGCACCAGUCGUCCGCACUGACUUCGCUAGUGCUUCAGCUCGUCGGUGUGCAGAAUCUCCAUCCGCCAGCCGAAUAAAGUGGGUCUCUAUGCUCCA